AUACGUAGGGUGCGAGCGUUGUCCGGAAUGAUUGGGCGUAAAGGGCGCGUAGGCGGCCCGGUAAGUCUGGAGUGAAAGUCCUGUUUUUAAGAUGGGAAUUGCUUUGGAUACUGUCGGGCUUGAGUGCAGGAGAGGUAAGUGGAAUUCCCAGUGUAGCGGUGAAAUGCGUAGAGAUUGGGAGGAACACCAGUGGCGAAGGCGGGUAACUGGACUGCAACUGACGCUGAGGCGCGAAAGUGUGGGGAGCAAACAGGAUUAGAUACCCUGGUAGUCCACACUGUAAACGAUGAAUGCUAGGUGUAAGAGGUAUCGACCCCUUUUGUGCCGGAGUUAACACAAUAAGCAUUCCGCCUGGGGAGUACGGCCGCAAGGUUGAAACUCAAAGGAAUUGACGGGG
rnacentral:rRNA from 1 species